rnacentral:rRNA from 1 species
GACAGAGGUGCCAAGCGUUAGGCGGAAUCACUGGGCUUAAAGCGUGUGUAGGCGGAAUUGUAAGUACCUUGUGAAAUCCCACGGCUCAACCGUGGAACUGCUCGGUAUACUGCUUUUCUUGAGCCACUUAGGGGCUACCGGAACAAAUGGUGGAGCGGUGAAAUGCGUAGAUAUCGUAAGGAAGACCAGUGGCGAAGGCGGGUCUCUGGACAGUUCCUGACGCUGAGGCACGAAGGCCAGGGGAGCAAACGGG